rnacentral:tRNA from 1 species
GGGGCUGUAGCUAAGUGGUAGAGCAUUUGCCUAACAUGCAUGAGAACAUGGGUUCAAUCCCCAGUACUG